rnacentral:rRNA from 1 species
GCAUAACGCGAAGAACCUUACCAAGGCUUGACAUCCCUUGACCGCUAUGGAAACAUAGCUUCCCUUCGGGGCAAGGAGACAGGUGGUGCAUGGUUGUCGUCAGCUCGUGUCGUGAGAUGUUGGGUUAAGUCCCGCAACGAGCGCAACCCUUGUCAUUAGUUGCCAGCACGUAAUGGUGGGAACUCUAAUGAGACUGCCGGGGAUAACUCGGAGGAAGGUGGGGACGACGUCAAAUCAUCAUGCCCCUUAUGUCUUGGGCUACACACGUGCUACAAUGGCCGGUACAAAGAGCUGCAAUACCGUAAGGUGGAGCGAAUCUCAUAAAGCCGGUCUCAGUUCGGAUCGUGGGCUGCAACCCGCCACGUGAAGCCGGAGUUGCUAGUAAUCGCGAAUCAGCAUGUCGCGGUGAAUGCGUUCCC